rnacentral:rRNA from 1 species
GCUGGUGAUUAUAGCGGAGGGGCCACACCCGUUCCCAUCUCGAACACGGCAGUUAAGUCCUCCAGCGUCGAUGGUACUGGGACUUUGUUCUCGGGAGAGUAGAACGUUGCCAGCC